CAGCCCCUCGAGUGGUGGGGAUGAUUAUUUGGCCUAAAGCGUCCGUAGCCGGCCGAGUAAGUCCCCCGUUAAAUCCAGCGUCUCAAGCGUUGGACUGCGGGAGAUACUACUUGGCUAGAGAGUGGGAGAGGUCAGCGGUAUUCUGGGGGUAGGGGCGAAAUCCUUUGAUCCCCGGAGGACCACCAGUGGCGAAGGCUGCUGACUAGAACACGUCUGACGGUCAGGGACGAAAGCUGGGGUAGCAAACCGGAUUAGAUACCCGCGUAGUCC
rnacentral:rRNA from 1 species